rnacentral:miRNA from 1 species
UUUUAUUCUGUUUUUAGUGUUCUGCUGGGAGCAGCCCAGAGUAGCUGGGGAAACCCAGCCAGAUGGGUGCAGUAUAGAUAAUGAAGUAGUGGUGGUGGUGGUGGUAAUAAUAAUAAUAAUAAUAAUAAUAAUAAUAAUAAUAAUUUUUAUUAUUUAUACCCCUCCCAUCUGGCUGGGUUUCCCCAGCCACCCUGGGCAACUUACAGCAUAUCUGAAAAUAUAAUACA